AAGUCGUAACAAGGUUUCCGUAGGUGAACCUGCGGAAGGAUCAUUAUUGAAAUAAACCUGAUGGGUUGUUGCUGGUUCUCUAGGGAGCAUGUGCACGCCUUGUCAUCUUUAUAUCUCCACCUGUGCACUUUUUGUAGACCUUUCAGGUCUAUGUUGCUUCAUUUACCCCAAUGUAUGUUAAUAGAAUGUUGUGCCUAUAUAAUAUAUACAA
rnacentral:misc_RNA from 1 species